GACGUAGGGCGCGAGCGUUGUCCGGAUUUAUUGGGCGUAAAGAGCUCGUAGGCGGCUUGUCGCGUCGUUCGUGAAAUCCCCGCAGCUCAACUGCGGGCUUGCGGUCGAUACGGGCAGGCUCGAGUUCGGUAGGGGGAGACUGGAAUUCCUGGUGUAGCGGUGAAAUGCGCAGAUAUCGAGAGGAACACCAGUGGCGAAGGCGAGUCUCUGGACGACUCCUGACACUGAGGCACGAAAGCUAGGGGAGCAAACAGG
rnacentral:rRNA from 1 species